AUGACUCGUCUACUGUGCGAUUAGAUUUAUUCGGCCGCCAAUUAUUCCUCUCUACCCGCACUACUUCAUCUUAUUAAUACGGAGGAGGAGAAGAUACUAACAGAGGAUCUCCCUCAACAGCGGACGAGUGAGGCGGGAAGAGCUCAUAUUUAACAUCUGGCGUAAAAGCCCGAAUAGUGUACUCUAGAGAGGCUUUAUCGGACUCUAGUUUAUCGUACAAGUUUCCUGGAAUGGAACAUCACAGAGGGUGAGAAUCCCGUCUGGACGAUGGACUAGUGGCCAUAUGAGACGUUCUCAGAGAGUCGAGUUGUUUGGGAUUGCAGCUCAAAAUGGGAGGUAAAUUUCUUCUAAGGCUAAAUAACGGCAAGAGACCGAUAGCAAACAAGUACCGUGAGGGAAAGAUGAAAAGCACCUUGAAAAGGGAGUUAAAAGCGCGUGAAAUUGUUAAAAGGGAAACGAUUGAAGCCAGUAGGACCAUGGAGAGUUCAGCGGUACCCAUCGAGUAAUGUUGCAACGGGAGUGCUUUAUUGCAUCUCUAGCAAUGUACGCAGGUGGACUAUCGUGCAUUCUUUUCAUGGUUAGUCAGUGUCAAUUUGGGUUGUCGCCAAAGGACUUUGAGAAAGGGGGCCAAUGCCUCNGUAUUGGCUUUAUAGCUCAUUGUAGAUACGAUGACCUAGAUGGNAAUCGACNACNGCUAACAGGGGUGCUGGAUCUGCNNGUGUGAACAUUUGAGAAUCAGUAGAGUCUCGGAAUGUAUCUAACCGAGACAANGUGCCUUGGAUGCUGNUGUGAGUACUGACGAAAUGGCUUAANCGACCCNGUCUGAANNCACGAA
rnacentral:rRNA from 1 species